rnacentral:rRNA from 1 species
CAAUAGCGUAUAUUAAAGUUGUUGCGGUUAAAAAGCUCGUAGUUGGAUUUCUGCCGAGGACGACCGGUCCGCCCUCUGGGUGAGUAUCUGGCUUGGCCUGGGCAUCUUCUUGGAGAACGUAGCUGCACUUGACUGUGUGGUGCGGUAUCCAGGACUUUUACUUUGAGGAAAUUAGAGUGUUUCAAGCAGGCCUACGCCUUGAAUACAUUAGCAUGGAAUAACGUAUAGGACUCAGGCCCUAUUUUGUUGGUUUUAAGGACCCGAGUAAUGAUUAAUAGGGAUAGUUGGGGGCAUUAGUAUUUAAUUGUCAGAGGUGAAAUUCUUAGAUUUAUGAAAGACUAACUUCUGCGAAAGCAUUUGCCAAGGAUGUUUUCAUUAAUCAAGAACGAAAGUUAGGGGAUCGAAGACGAUUAGAUACCGU